GGCAGGCAGUAUUAAUUCUGGCACCAUUAGCAAAUCUACAUAUUGGCAAUAGUGACCAUAAAUCCUCUGUUAACUCCCAUGUCUCAUCUUGACUAUCAAGAUUAUUACAUGGAAAGACCUUUGAACCCACCAAAUGGUGAAACCUUACUUUUUUAAAAUCAAUUUGCCGGUUGAAGUUUUUGGUGUACUUCUGCUUCACAUUCAGUGGUUGAAUUACCACCGGAUCUGUUGUUCAGUAUGUGUCCAAGAAGGUUCUGCUCUGAAUUAGUGAAUCUUGUUACACGUGUGCAUAUGAGACUUGCAUCAUGCAGUCACUUGUGCUCAGACAGCACAUGAGCAGAGCACCCAAUGGCAGUGCUGGAGUGCGGCGUGAGCCAGACGUGAUGGAGGAGAGGACAGUGACCGACCUGACACAACUCAACCUCCCGCUAAGUGCCCCCAAUCCACAGUGACUUGAGAUUAUUGUAUCAUUUUUUUAAAUGACUGUUUUAGUAUUUGAUUAUCUGUCCUCUGAUUUCCAUCAUUUUUCAUUGUCUUAUAUGUAAAGAAAUAGCAGCACUCUCCUUGAUAGCUUUUUAUAGGACUAUAGGACUGAUAUUCAAGGCAAACAAUCUUUUUUUCAGUCUGGGAGUUUAUAUGCCUGUUUCAGGUCGUAAACCCCAGCAUCCAAGCAUAUAGGCUAUGCGCUGGUAAUGACAUUUAAAGUAGAAGUUUGCAUUUGUUUAAAAUUGUAAUAGAGCUAGUCAUGUGAUAGACUGCAAAAUAAGGGAAUUUUCCUCUCUUGAAAAACAAACAAACAGGGGAAGGCAUAUAAAAAAUGUAAUGAAAACAUAAUUGAAAGAAAUAACAGUUCUGAAGCAAUGAACAACUUAUGAAACUAGGUACAAAGAACAUAUUUUGUUAAAGUAUGGGUUUCAAACACUUUGAGGCCCCUUGAUGAAUAGAUAAACAGAAUGGAAAUUUAACACAUCUGAAUUUGGCAGGGACUAUGAGACAUUUAACUGAAUUUUUGCUUUAAAGCUUUUUGGUUUAAUAUGUUUUGUUUGUAUGUUUGUUUGUUUGUUUUUUCUUGAGAUUAAACCACAAUUGGCAGACCCCUUUUGAAGGAUCAAAGACAACAGCUGCAUCUGAAAUCACAUACUUCCAUGCUGUAUAGUAGAUCAAAAACAAUAUGUGACAAAAGUAGUAUGUCUGAAUUCAUAGUACUUGUAAAAGAGUAGGCAAAAAGUACCUGGAUGACCAACUAUUUCAGGCAAGAUUCAGUGCAUACGAUGGACACUUUACUAUCAUAUUGCCAUUGGAGAGGAUUUAUGAAUGGCAGUGAAGAGACACAACUGACACUUGUAGAUGAUACGGGAUAAACAACAACAUGGUGUAUGUAGUACGUCCAGG
ensembl:lncRNA